UACGUAGGGUGCGAGCGUUAAUCGGAAUUACUGGGCGUAAAGCGUGCGCAGGCGGGCUUUUAAGCCAGACGUGAAAUCCCCGGGCUUAACCUGGGAAUGGCGUUUGGGACUGGAAGUCUGGAGUACGGCAGAGGAGACUGGAAUUCCUGGUGUAGCAGUGAAAUGCGUAGAUAUCAGGAGGAACACCGAUGGCGAAGGCAGGUCUCUGGGCUGAUACUGACACUGAGGCACGAAGGCGUGGGGAGCAAACAGG
rnacentral:rRNA from 1 species